GGGGUUGUGGCUCAGGGGUAGAGUGCUUGCCUAGUAUAGGAGGCACUGGAUUUGAUCCUCAGGACUACAUUAUAAAUAAAUAAAAUAAAGGUAUUGUGUCCAUCCACAAAUUAAAAAAAAAAAAAGAAAAUAAGCAAAAGAAAGUUAUUUAAAAAAGAAGAAAAUGGGGCUGGGGCUAUAGCUCAAAGCACUAACUUUGCAGGUCUGAGGCCCUGAGUUUGAUCCUCAGCACCACA
rnacentral:tRNA from 1 species